UACGUAGGUGGCAAGCGUUGUUCGGAAUUAUUGGGCGUAAAGGGCGCGUAGGCGGUCGAUUAAGUCAGCUGUGAAAGCCCGGGGCUCAACCCCGGAGGGUCGGCUGAUACUGGUUGACUAGAGUACGGAAGAGGUAGCUGGAAUUCCCGGUGUAGCGGUGAAAUUCGUAGAUAUCAGGAGGAACACCGGCGGCGAAGGCGGCUUCCUGGCCCAUCACUGACGUUCAGGUACGAAAGCGUGGGUAGCAAACAGG
rnacentral:rRNA from 1 species